UGAUAAGCUUCUGUUUUAAAUUGCUUAAGUUCCUCAGUUUGUUGCUUCACUGUCUCCAGAUCCGUUCCAACGGGGGACAUAGAUGCUAGCUUGAUGCCAGCAAUGUCUACCCAGUCAAAUAUUGCCUGCAGUCCAUCUUGGUAUUGAACAGCUGCCUGCAUAGCUUCGGCAAGCUUAUCCACUCGCUCUUUCCAUGUUUUGUUUAAGGCAUCCCAGGCAGAGUUCAGCUCAUCUAUACUCUUGUUGACAAUAGGUUUGUCAGGCUCUCCACAGGCAGCUCUAAGUUCAGAGCCUAGGCUUACAACGCUCUCUAGUUCUUCUUGCAGUCCAUCAAUUUCUUCUUUAGCAGCCUCAGCAGCUUCUUGCUGUUGCUUGACUACAGAUGGGUCAACUCCAGGUCCCUCCAGUUCUCGAAUGAAGUCCUGAGUAUCUUUAAUAGUAGCUACGAGAGCCAUAUGAUCACACCAGAACUUUUCAGCUAGUUCCAUAACAUCCAACAAUUUGGCCUCCCUUUCCUCAGUCAAGGUCUGGAUGUCUUGCCAAAUAAGGACCAUUUGGUCUAGUUUAUCUUGCACAACUUUAGCAGAUACAUCCUUAUCUGCUCCUUCUGAGCGAGCGAUCAUUUCU
rnacentral:lncRNA from 1 species